rnacentral:rRNA from 1 species
AAGGCCCGGCGCACCGCUCAGUAACACGUGGAUAACCUGCCCUUAGGACCGGGAUAAUCCCGAGAAAUUGGGACUAAUACCGGAUAGAUCAUUAUUGCUGGAAUGCAUAAUGGUUCAAAGUUCCGGCGCCUAAGGAUGGAUCUGCGGCCGAUUAGGUAGUUGCCGGGGUAAUGUCCCGACAAGCCGAUGAUCGGUACGGGUUGUGAGAGCAAGAGCCCGGAGAUGGAUUCUGAGACAUGAAUCCAGGGCCUACGGGGCGCAGCAGGCGCGAAAACUUUACACUGCACGAAAGUGCGAUAAGGGAACUUCGAGUGUCAAUGCACUGCAUUGACUGUCCAGAUGCCUAAAAAGCAUCUGCUAGCAAGAGCCGGGCAAGACCGGUGCCAGCCGCCGCGGUAACACCGGCGGCUCAAGUGGUGGCCGCUUUUAUUGGGUCUAAAGGGUCCGUAGCCGGCUUAGCAAGUCCUUUGGGAAAUCUAGCAGCUCAACUGUCGGGCUUCUGAAGGAAACUGCUAGGCUUGGGACCGGGAGAGGUUAGAGGUACUUCAGGGGUAGGAGUGAAAUCCUGUAAUCCCUGAGGGACCGCCGGUGGCGAAGGCGUCUAACCAGAACGGGUCCGACGGUGAGGGACGAAAGCUAGGGGCAC